rnacentral:rRNA from 1 species
CUCAGUAACACGUGGAUAACCUGCCCUCGGGUGGGGGAUAACCCUGGGAAAACCGGGAACAAUACCCCAUAGAUCUGGGAUGCUGGAAUGCUUCCAGGUCAAAAGCUCCGGCGCCCGAGGAUGGGUCUGCGGCCUAUCAGGUAGUAGUGAGGGUAACUGCCUCACUAGCCUACGACGGGUACGGGCCUUGGGAGAGGUAGCCCGGAGAUGGACUCUGAGACACGAGUCCAGGCCCUACGGGGCGCAGCAGGCGCGAAAACUUUGCAAUGCGGGAAACCGCGACAAGGGAACUCCAAGUGCCUAUGCACAGCAUAGGCUGUUCGAUUGCCUAAAAAGCAGUCGGAGUAAGGGCUGGGUAAGUCCGGUGCCAGCCGCCGCGGUAAUACCGGCAGCCCGAGUGGUGGUCUUUAUUAUUGGGUCUAAAGCGUCCGUAGCCGGUCCUUCAAAUCCCUGGGUAAAUCGGGCAGCUCAACUGUCCGACUUCCGGGGAGACUGUAGGACUUGGGACCGGGAGAGGUCGGAGGUACUCCUGGGGUAGGGGUGAAAUCCUAUAAUCCCAGGGGGACCCCCGGUGGCGAAGGCGUCCGACUAGAACGGAUCCGACGGUGAGGGACGAAACCCUGGGGAGCGAACCGGAUUAGAUACCCGGGUAGUCCAGGGCGUAAACGCUGCAGGUUUGGUGUUGGAGGUAGUACGUGUGCUUUCAGUGCCGGAGAGAAGGUGUGCUUCCUCCACCUGGGGAGUAUGCUCGCAAGAGUGAAACUAAA